rnacentral:rRNA from 1 species
UACGUAGGGGGCGAGCGUUGUCCGGAUUUACUGGGCGUAAAGCGCACGUAGGCGGCUUGGUAAGUUAGAGGUGAAAGCCUGGAGCUCAACUCCAGAAUUGCCUUUAAGACUGCCGAGCUAGCAGGUGAGAGAGGUGAGUGGAAUUCCGAGUGUAGAGGUGAAAUUCGUAGAUAUUCGGAAGAACACCAGUGGCGAAGGCGGCUCACUGGCUCAUACUGGACGCUGAGGUGCGAAAGCGUGGGGAGCAAACAGG